AUUGAACGCUGGCGGCAGGCCUAACACAUGCAAGUCGAACGGUAACAGGAAGCAGCUUGCUGCUUCGCUGACGAGUGGCGGACGGGUGAGUAAUGUCUGGGAAACUGCCUGAUGGAGGGGGAUAACUACUGGAAACGGUAGCUAAUACCGCAUAACGUCGCAAGACCAAAGAGGGGGACCUUAGGGCCUCUUGCCAUCGGAUGUGCCCAGAUGGGAUUAGCUAGUAGGUGGGGGAACGGCUCACCUAGGCGACGGUCCCUAGCUGGUCUGAGAGGAUGACCAGCCACACUGGAACUGAGACACGGUCCAGACUCCUACGGGAGGCAGCAGUGGGGAAUAUUGCACAAUGGGCGCAAGCCUGAUGCAGCCAUGCCGCGUGUAUGAAGAAGGCCUUCGGGUUGUAAAGUACUUUCAGCGGGGAGGAAGGGAGUAAAGUUAAUACCUUUGCUCAUUGACGUUACCCGCAGAAGAAGCACCGGCUAACUCCGUG
rnacentral:rRNA from 1 species